UACGGAGGGUGCGAGCGUUGUCCGGAAUCAUUGGGCGUAAAGAGCGCGUAGGCGGCCAGAUAAGUCCGGUGUGAAAGUCACAGGCUCAACCUGUGAAUGCCGCUGGAAACUGUCUGGCUAGAGUCCGGAAGGGGCGAGUGGAAUUCCUGGUGUAGCGGUGAAAUGCGCAGAUAUCAGGAGGAACACCAAUGGCGAAGGCAGCUCGCUGGGACGGUACUGACGCUGAGGCGCGAAAGCGUGGGGAGCAAACAGG
rnacentral:rRNA from 1 species